rnacentral:rRNA from 1 species
UCCUACGGGGGGCAGCAGUGAGGAAUAUUGGUCAAUGGUCGGGAGACUGAACCAGCCAAGCCGCGUGAGGGAUGAAGGUACAGAGUAUCGUAAACCUCUUUUGUCAGGGAACAAAGGCGGGGACGUGUCCCCGGAUGAGUGUACCUGAAGAAAAAGCAUCGGCUAACUCCGUGCCAGCAGCCGCGGUAAUACGGAGGAUGCGAGCGUUAUCCGGAUUUAUUGGGUUUAAAGGGUGCGCAGGCGGUCUGUUAAGGCAGCGGUCAAAACCCGGGGGUCACCCCCGGCCCGCCGUUGAAACUGGCAGG